rnacentral:rRNA from 1 species
CCUACGGGAGGCAGCAGUGGGGAAUAUUGGACAAUGGGGGGAACCCUGAUCCAGCGACGCCGCGUGAGUGAAGAAGUAUUUCGGUAUGUAAAGCUCUAUCAGCAGGGAAGAAAAUGACGGUACCUGACUAAGAAGCCCCGGCUAACUACGUGCCAGCAGCCGCGGUAAUACGUAGGGGGCAAGCGUUAUCCGGAUUUACUGGGUGUAAAGGGAGCGUAGACGGUGCAGCAAGUCUGAUGUGAAAGGUCGGGGCCCAACCCCGGGACUGCAUUGUAAACUGGUGAACUGGAGUACAGGAGGGGGUAGCGGAAAUCCUAGUGUAGCGGGGAAAAGCGAAGAUAUUAGGAGGGAAACCAGUGGCGAAGGCGGCUUAAGGGACUGUAACUGACGUCGAGGCUAGAAAGCGUGGAGAACCAACCGGAAUAGAUACCCCAGUAGGC